AUUGAACGCUGGCGGCAGGCCUAACACAUGCAAGUCGAACGAGUGGCGGACGGGUGAGUAAUGCAUUGGAAUCUAGCUUAUGGAGGGGGAUAACUACGGGAAACUUUAGCUACUACCGCGUACCAUAGUAUCAGCCCUAGUGGGAUGAGGUAGUUGGGGGGGGAAAGGCUCACCAAGCCGACGAUCUCUAGCUGGUCUGAGAGUAUGACCAGCCACACUGGGACUGAGAGACGGCCCAGACUCCUACGGGAGGCAGCAGUGGGGAAUAUUGCGCAAUGGGGGAAACCUGACCCAGCCAUGCCGCGUGAAUGAAGAAGGCCUUCGGAUUGUAAAAUUCUUUCGGUAGAGAGGCGUUAACUACAGAAGAAGCACCGGCUAACUCCGUGCCAGCAGCCGCGGUAAUAC
rnacentral:rRNA from 1 species